rnacentral:rRNA from 1 species
UACGAAGGGGGCUAGCGUUGCUCGGAAUUACUGGGCGUAAAGCGUACGUAGGCGGCUUCUUAAGUCGGUGGUGAAAUCCUGGAGCUCAACUCCAGAACUGCCUUCGAUACUGGGAAGCUCGAGUCCGGGAGAGGUGAGUGGAACUCCGAGUGUAGAGGUGAAAUUCGUAGAUAUUCGGAAGAACACCAGUGGCGAAGGCGAACUUACUGGACACAUAUUGACGCUGAGGUGCGAAAGCGUGGGGAGCAAACAGGG